rnacentral:rRNA from 1 species
AUUGAACGCUGGCGGCAGGCUUAACACAUGCAAGUCGAGCGAGAGGCGGACGGCUGAGUAAUGUCUCGGACACUUCCUGAUGGAGGGGGUUCACUACUGGACACGGUAGCUAAUACCGCAUACCAUCAGAUGUGCCCAGAUGGGUUUAGCUAGUAGUUGGGGUAUUGGCUCACCUCGGCGACGAUCCCUAGCUGGUGUGAGAGGAUGACCAGCCACACUGGAACUGAGACACGGUCCAGACUCCUACGGGAGGCAGCAGUGGGGAAUAUUGGACAAUGGGCGCAAGCCUGAUGCAGCCAUGCCGCGUGUGUGAAGAAGGCCUUCGGGUUGUAAAGCACUUUCAGCUGGGAGGCGUUACUCGCAGAAGAAGCACCGGCUAACUCCGUGCCAGCAGCCGCGGUAAUUC